rnacentral:lncRNA from 1 species
AGUGGAGAUAUGAUUGACAUAAUUCUGUGUCUAGCUGGGUGAAUUUAUGUGUGUUUGCUUGUAUGUCUGUGUAUGCAUGUACAUACUUGCAUGGGAAGGACAGCCAGGGAACACGGAAAAGGAGCUGUCAAAGAAAUCUUAUGAAGCAAGCUGCCUACAGAAAUGUCCAUGUGUCAGGAAACUGAAGCUGGCUCAUGGUCAGCAGCCAGCAAGCUACAAAGGGCUUCCAACAGCCCAUGAAGCACUGAGUCCUGCCAAAAGCCACGUGCAUGAGCUUAGAAGAGCUUCAUCCUCCAGGCUAGGAAAGAGACAGUCGGUGUGCAGCAAGAGAAAAGAGAGGAGGAAACAUGUGGAAAGACCCAAAGAAUGAAGACACAAGAGCAUGCCUGAAUGCAAUGGGAAGUAGAUCAGUUGACCUUUGCUGAAUAACAAGGUGGACCUAAAACUGGGUGACUUGAAACAGCCCAUAAUCCUGUGGACCUAAAGGUUGCUGUAUGAAGUGGACAGGAUGAUGUUGUUCAUGAUCUGCCUACCUCAUAGGGUGGAAGCGAAAAAUCAAAUGAAGAAACAGGCCCAGAGAAACCUGGAGCUCAGGGAGAUUAAGUAACCUGCCUAAGUUUGCAGCUGCUCAGAGGCAGAGCCUGAACUGGAGCUCACAAAUUUGAAUCACAAUCUCUCAGUAAAACCUCAUGUUGUUCCAAAUAAAAG